CUGAGUUGACACGAAAGUGUUAUUCUCCCACCCUAUGUUUAAUAUGACCUGUUGCUUCGGCGAGCCGUCGAAAGACCGUCGGCUUCUGCGGGCGAGCGCUCGCCGAAGGUUCAAACACUAUAAAUUAUGUUGUCUGAGUAAUAAAUAAACAAAUAA
rnacentral:misc_RNA from 1 species